rnacentral:rRNA from 1 species
UUUAUGGAGAGUUUGAUCCUGGCUCAGGAUGAACGCUGGCGGCGUGCCUAAUACAUGCAAGUCGAGCGAACGGACGAGAAGCUUGCUUCUCUGAUGUUAGCGGCGGACGGGUGAGUAACACGUGGAUAACCUACCUAUAAGACUGGGAUAACUUCGGGAAACCGGAGCUAAUACCGGAUAAUAUUUUGAACCGCAUGGUUCAAAAGUGAAAGACGGUCUUGCUGUCACUUAUAGAUGGAUCCGCGCUGCAUUAGCUAGUUGGUAAGGUAACGGCUUACCAAGGCAACGAUGCAUAGCCGACCUGAGAGGGUGAUCGGCCACACUGGAACUGAGACACGGUCCAGACUCCUACGGGAGGCAGCAGUAGGGAAUCUUCCGCAAUGGGCGAAAGCCUGACGGAGCAACGCCGCGUGAGUGAUGAAGGUCUUCGGAUCGUAAAACUCUGUUAUUAGGGAAGAACAUAUGUGUAAGUAACUGUGCACAUCUUGACGGUACCUAA